rnacentral:misc_RNA from 1 species
GUGGGAGGGGGCUUGCCCCCGAUGGCGGCGGCACACUCAACAUAUUUGUUGGCUGAACCACUGCUAUCGGGGGCAAGCCCCCUCCCAC